GAUGGACGCUAGCGGCAGGCCUAAUACAUGCAAGUCGGACGGGAUUCAGGAGCUUGCUUCUGAUGAGAGUGGCGCACGGGUGCGUAACACGUAUGUAACCUACCUUUAUCAGGGGGAUAGCCUCUCGAAAGAGAGAUUAAGCCCGCAUAAAAUCACAGCACAGCAUUGUGUAAUGAUCAAAUAUUUAUAGGAUAAAGAUGGGCAUGCGGAACAUUAGCUAGAUGGCGGGGUAACGGCCCACCAUGGCGACGAUGUUUAGGGGAUCUGAGAGGAUGGCCCCCCACACUGGUACUGAGACACGGACCAGACUCCUACGGGAGGCAGCAGUAAGGAAUAUUGAUCAAUGGGCGGAAGCCUGAACCAGCCAUGCCGCGUGCAGGAAGACGGCCCUACGGGUUGUAAACUGCUUUUAUACGGGAAUAAACCCAGAUACGUGUAUCUGGCUGAAUGUACUGUAAGAAUAAGGAUCGGCUAACUCCGUG
rnacentral:rRNA from 1 species